rnacentral:rRNA from 1 species
CCUACGGGAGGCAGCAGUGAGGAAUAUUGGUCAAUGGGCGAGAGCCUGAACCAGCCAAGUCGCGUGAGGGAGUACUGCCCUAUGGGUUGUAAACCUCUUUUGUCGGGGAGCAAAAGCCGGACGUGUCCGGCUGUGAGAGUACCCGAAGAAAAAGCAUCGGCUAACUCCGUGCCAGCAGCCGCGGUAAUACGGAGGAUGCGAGCGUUAUCCGGAUUUAUUGGGGUUAAAGGGUGCGAAGGCGGAUUUUUAAGUCAGCGGUCAAAUCGUGGGGCUCAACCCCAUCCAGCCGUUGAAACUGGGGAUCUAGAGUGUGCGAGAGGUAUGCGGAAUGCGUGGUGUAGCGGUGAAAUGCAUAGAUAUCACGCAGAACCCCGAUUGCGAAGGCAGCAUACCGGUGCACAACUGACGCUCAGGCACGAAAGCGUGGGUAUCGAACAGGAUUAGAUACCCCAGUAGUC